GUGGGGAAUUUUGGACAAUGGGGGCAACCCUGAUCCAGCCAUGCCGCGUGCGGGAAGAAGGCCUUCGGGUUGUAAACCGCUUUUGUCAGGGAAGAAAUCCUUUGGGUUAAUACCUCGGAGGGAUGACGGUACCUGAAGAAUAAGCACCGGCUAACUACGUGCCAGCAGCCGCGGUAAUACGUAGGGUGCGAGCGUUAAUCGGAAUUACUGGGCGUAAAGCGUGCGAAGGCGGUAUUGUAAGAUCGAUGUGAAAUCCGCGGGCUCAACCUGGGAACUGCAUUGGUGACUGCAAGGCUGGAGUACGGCAGAGGGGGAAGGAAUUCCGCGUGUAGCAGUGAAAUGCGUAGAUAUGCGGAGGAACACCGAUGGCGAAGGCAAUCCCCUGGGCCUGCACUGACGCUCAUGCACGAAAGCGUGGGGAGCAAACAGGAUUAGAAACACCAGUAGUCC
rnacentral:rRNA from 1 species